UUCUGUUGGAGAUGGUAAGUCCCUCUGGGGGGGGACUAUGGGCUGUUGCACUUUGUAAACCUAUUACGUACACAGAAAAGAUAUAUAACACAAUAAAGGAAAGGGGAAAAGCCAAAAAGUAUAAUUUGAGCACUUUAAAGGAGUGGUCAGAGGUU